UGUUAAUUCUACCCGUCCACAAUACUCUGGUUUUAUUCAGCAAACCGCAGGCCUUAGGACAUUCAGCAGUGCUUCUGUGGCAUCACUAGAAACCAAGGUUUGAGAAGCCACCUCGUGUCAUGCAGAAGUCCAGGGUGAAGGAUUCUGUCACAAAGACGGGACAUUCAUGUGAGGGGGUUCCUAUGACAACCAAACUUUCCAGGAGGAAGUGUCAGAAGGCAGAACAACUACAGAGCGAUGGAAAGCUCAAGCUCACAUUGGGCAAAGGCUGGGGGUCCUCUCAGUGGGCAUAUUCGUCAACAUCCGAAGAAAGGCUUCUCACACAGGCUAACUACUCCAUGAGGAGUAAACUUUCCUACCACCGCCAAAGAAGAAAGCAUGGACAAAUUUUAGCUCCAAUUCCCAGGAAGCUAACCAUCAUGUCGUACCGUCCGUCCCCCCCUCGCCCCUCCCCCACUUUGGAGCUUGUUGGACCUUAGGAGACUGGCCCAGCACCCACAAAACCCUUCUUGUCUGUGCCUGGAGUGCUGGCCUUCCCUCUGCAGGGGGUUCUUUCUGUCUUCUCCACAUAAUACUCUCUUUGGCAUUUCCUGGUCUCCUUAUCUAAGAUUAAAAAACCCAAUUCCAUCGUCCCCAGCCCUAGCUGCUCUCCUUCCCCACACCUCCUCCAUCUUCCCCCAGGGAUCCAAAGUUCCCUGAGGGGUCGGGAGCCUGAUGAGGCCAACAGUUAGUGUCUAAUUAAACUUGAUUGGGAUCCAUCAGAAAGCACAACAACACUUGUCUGAUACAUCGGAAGGGUGUUAACCGAGCUCACAGGACCACACUUCCAGAACCCUGCCUCUACUUUCCCAGUCAACAUCCGUCUCCUAGGGGACGACAAUCAGCAAUCUAAACCACAGAGGCUCCAUCCCACACUCUUCAUUUCAGGAUGUCCUUGCUUCGGACGUUUCUAAACCCAUGGUUCUCAACCUUCCUGAUGCUGCGACCCUUUAAUGCAGUUCUUUGUGUUGUGGUGACCCCCCCCCCCAACCAUAAAGUUAUUUUUGUUGCAACUUCAUAACUGUAAUUUUGCUAUCGUUAUGAGUGGUAACAUAAAUACUUUUGGAGAUAGAGGUUUGCCAAAAGUAUUGUGACCCACAGGCUGAGAUCCAGUUAAACCCUUAGCGCUCGGGGAAUCCACACAGUGGUACGUGUGGCACGAGAAUCCUGAGGAGUGUCUCUGCAUGGAAAGACCCAUUAGAACAUGUCCCCAACUGCAUAAGCCCAGACUGGGGUCAGCUGUUCUAGGACAUAAGCAUUUCUCAGGGACAGAGUACAACUGGGACCAACUGACGGAUUCCUAAGCAAGAGGCUCACCCUGCAGCUGCACCUCCUACACAGCUCUCCGCUGAAAAAAGUCUUGGCUUAGAAUGAACCCUGGGCUUUGUAGUACCCGCUGGCCAUUGCAAAGAGCAUCCGAUGAAGGAUCGCGCCUUCUAGUGGACAGGAAGAGAAGCUAAAAAUCCUACUUCAAUUAACA